rnacentral:rRNA from 1 species
CAGCCGCCGCGGGAAUACGUAGGGUGCGAGCGUUAAUCGGAAUUACUGGGCGUAAAGCGUGCGCAGGCGGUUCGUUAAGACAGAUGUGAAAUCCCCGGGCUUAACCUGGGAACUGCAUUUGUGACUGGCGAGCUAGAGUAUGGCAGAGGGGGGUAGAAUUCCACGUGUAGCAGUGAAAUGCGUAGAGAUGUGGAGGAAUACCGAUGGCGAAGGCAGCCCCCUGGGUCAAUACUGACGCUCAUGCACGAAAGCGUGGGGAGCAAACAGGAUUAGAUACCCCCGUAGUCCCUGUCUCUUAUAC